GCUUGAGGACGAGAAUGAAAAUCUCGACAACAAGCCUCUGGCUGAAGACUACGCCACCCAUAUCAAGGUCCGAGAUUUGAAAGAAAGUCACAAGGCUGAUUUAACAAAUCUCAAAGAACAAGUGAGGCUUCUGAACCAAGAGGCGGAAAGAUCGGAGGACAGGUCCUUGUCAAUUGAAGCUUCGUUCCAGUCUAAAAUCCAGCAGAUCCAAGAGGAGCUGGACAAUGUACAGAAGCUGCUGCUGGAGCACAAAGAUGUGGAGAUUGACUAUGAAGGGGAGGACGACCAGUUACACCUAAAUGUGAACUGGCCACAAUGCGU